UACAGAGGGGGCAAGCGUUGUUCGGAAUUACUGGGCGUAAAGGGCGCGUAGGCGGCCUGUUAAGUCGAACGUGAAAUCCCCGGGCUCAACCCGGGAACUGCGUCCGAUACUGGCAGGCUUGAAUCCGGGAGAGGGAUGCGGAAUUCCAGGUGUAGCGGUGAAAUGCGUAGAUAUCUGGAGGAACACCGGUGGCGAAGGCGGCGACCUGGUCCUUUACUGACGCUGAGGCGCGAAAGCGUGGGGAGCAAACAGG
rnacentral:rRNA from 1 species